GCCCGGGUGGCGAAAUUAGCAGACGCACUACCUUGAGGUGGUAGCUCCCGCAAGGGAUUGCAGGUGCAAGUCCUGUCCCGGGCA
rnacentral:tRNA from 1 species